UACAAGCUCACUAUCGGAAAUUACAAGGAGAUCGGAAUCUCCUCCAGUCAUCUUCACCACCAAAAAUCAGCAAAAACUACCUCAAAUCACCUUGAAAUCAGUCCAACAAACAGCCCCAAAUACCCUAGCGAAAAUCAUUCAAAAAGACCUCAAAAUAAUCACCUCUGAAAGUCAGUCCAAAUCUUAGUCAAAAGGCGGUCAAAACGCUGCAGAAGAUAGCCAUUAGAGUAGCUCCAAAUUACCAUAUCCUCCAAUACAUCUCCUCCAGUCAACAGCUCUUCUCGCUUGUCAGCGCCAUUACCGACUCGCUCGCUCUCCGUAAGUUUUCUGGAGUAGUAUUUUACUUUUCAUUUUCAGUUCCUCUCUGUUUGCUCAAUUACUCAAAAUUCAUUUUCCUUUCGAAAACCCUAGCAUCGAGUUUCUACUUAUUUACUAGCUCGCAUCGAGUUUCUACUUUGUACGUGUAAUUCGGGUAACUUCAGCUCUUCUUGAGUAUUAUUUUCUGAAACUCUUAAUAUUUUUAGAUUUAGUAACUGUUAUUUUAAUAUUUUAUUUCUUACAGUAAUUAAUUUUUUAACUCAUAUUAUUUUUUCAGCUGCAUAGAAUGUGGUUUCCCCUUUUAUAUGGUUUUGCAGAUCUAUUGUAUUCCUAUCAAUUUGUCAAAAUUCAUGUUUAUUUUGUUUAUUAACUCGAUUAAUUGACUGUCCUUGGAAAAAAUUUGGGAACUAUUUGGAACAAUGGUUGUGAGCAUCGAGUUAGAAAGAGCAGAAAUGUUUCAAUACUUGGGAAACUUAUUGGCGUGGAAAAGAAUGGGAGCUAAAAUUUACUUUGCAGAAUUUGGUAUAGAGUUGAUGGCAUUGCCCUCAUGUUGUGUAUCCACGGCCUACGAAGCAAUACGUUGUACCUCAUGUCACCGCCGAUGGCAUGGAACUAGGUGUUCUGAACUGUACCGGAUAUGUCAACUGGAAGGGCGAUCUCUCCUUUCAUAACUUCGCCAGCCAUGUUGAAGCCGUGGAGGAUCCGGGAGGCAGGUACGAUCUGAUCGAGUAACCCAAGCUGUUCUACUACCUUCGACCUGAUUACGUUUGCCGAGCUACCUAGAUCCACAAGCACACGUUUAAUUUGAACGUUGCUUAAAAGAAAUGAAAUUACCAGCGUAUCGUUGUGCGGUUCUGCCAAGGUCUUGAGAUCCUCCUCGUUGAAUGCAAAGGUGUCUUUGGUCAUGCGGUCUCGAAUCGGCCCUUCUAUUACAGCGGAUAUUUUUAUCCGUUUGAUCACGGGUCCUUGGGGAAUGUCGGUCCCCCCCGAUAAUCAUAUGAACGACAUGUCGAGGAAUCUCUCUUUUUGCCCAGGUUGGAUUUUUCUGAUUUCUGCUUAAAUGUUUCGGCGCGCUCCUUGGUAAUGUGACGACCGACGUUAAUGCAUUGGGCGUUGUACGAGGUUGUACCCUUAGGAAUCGGCUCCGAUGUGAUCUCGGGGUUUCGCGGUGGCACACCCAUACCUGGAAUAGCCAUACUGCCCUUUCCAUAGUUUUUGAGGCUGUUAUUUUCAGGUACAUUUACUGGUUUAGGCAUUUUGACCUGAAAUAAAAGAUCUUUGACAAGAAAAAGUGUGAAAGAUAACUUGCGUUGUGUAGUAAAACCAGCAAGAAAAUAAUCACUAUUAUUUUUAGCCCC
rnacentral:lncRNA from 1 species